GUGCGUGUGUGAGUGCAUGACGAUCCGGAGCAUCUUGAGCAAUAACAGUGUUUCAUGGCCUUUAAAGGUCUGCUGGAGUUUUGCGACCACGCGAUAGCUGCGGUUACCGGGACGCAGUUUCGACGGACGCCGAUGCUGCACCGGAGGAUCCGGUUCGGGCCGAGCAGAGUCGGCUUGAAGAUCCGAAGCAGAACGUGGCUGACUCUGUCUGCUGUGUAUCGGU